rnacentral:rRNA from 1 species
AACGAACGCUGGCGGCAUGCCUAACACAUGCAAGUCGAACGAGACCUUCGGGUCUAGUGGCGCACGGGUGCGUAACGCGUGGGAACCUGCCCUUAGGUUCGGAAUAACUCCCCGAAAGGGGUGCUAAUACCGGAUAAUGUCUUCGGACCAAAGAUUUAUCGCCUUUGGAUGGGCCCGCGUUGGAUUAGCUAGUUGGUAGGGUAAAAGCCUACCAAGGCGACGAUCCAUAGCUGGUCUGAGAGGAUGAUCAGCCACACUGGGACUGAGACACGGCCCAGACUCCUACGGGAGGCAGCAGUGGGGAAUAUUGGACCAGGGGCGAAAGCCUGAUCCAGCAAUGCCGCGUGAGUGAUGAAGGCCUUAGGGUUGUAAAGCUCUUUUACCCGGGAUGAUAAUGACAGUACCGGGAGAAUAAGCACCGGCUAACUCCGUG